UACGUAGGGGGCAAGCGUUGUCCGGAUUUAUUGGGCGUAAAGAGCGUGUAGGCGGCUUUACAGGUCCGUUGUGAAAACUCGAGGCUCAACCUCGAGACGCCGGUGGAAACCGUAAAGCUAGAGUCCGGAAGAGGAGAGUGGAAUUCCUGGUGUAGCGGUGAAAUGCGCAGAUAUCAGGAGGAACACCCGUGGCGAAAGCGGCUCUCUGGGACGGUACUGACGCUCAUGCACGAAAGCGUGGGGAGCAAACAGG
rnacentral:rRNA from 1 species